GACGAACGCUGGCGGCGUGCCUAAUACAUGCAAGUAGAACGCUGAAGGAGGAGCUUGCUUCUCUGGAUGAGUUGCGAACGGGUGAGUAACGCGUAGGUAACCUGCCUGGUAGCGGGGGAUAACUAUUGGAAACGAUAGCUAAUACCGCAUAAUAGUAGAUGUUGCAUGACAUUUGCUUAAAAGGUGCAAUUGCAUCACUACCAGAUGGACCUGCGUUGUAUUAGCUAGUUGGUGAGGUAACGGCUCACCAAGGCGACGAUACAUAGCCGACCUGAGAGGGUGAGCGGCCACACUGGGACGGAGACACGGCCCAGACUCCUACGGGAGGCAGCAGUAGGGAAGCGUCGGCAAUGGACGGAAGACUGACCGAGCAACGCCGCGUGAGUGAAGAAGGGUUUCGGAUCGUAAAGCUCUGUUGUAAGAGAAGAACGAGUGUGAGAGUGGAAAGUUCACACUGUGACGGUAUCUUACCAGAAAGGGACGGCUAACUACGUG
rnacentral:rRNA from 1 species